AGAUAAGUUGCUGUUCAGCUGGACAGAAGCCCUCAUCAAUUGUCACCAGCAGAAGGGAAAGAUGGGUGAAGCUUUUUUGAGAAAUUAUUGGAAGACUCCAAACACAGGAACUAAUGAUAACAAGAGACAUUCUGUAUCCAGGAGAGGAAAAAUUGGGUAAAUGAGAAGACAUCAAUAAAUAAAGCAAUAUCAGAACAACAGGAAGGACAGAACACUAAUAUUAUCAAGAGCAAUUAUCAGUACAGGUAAUAACUGAAGUAAUUCAAAUGCACAGAAGAAACCACAAGGCAUGGAUAUAACCAAAAUAAUUCUGCAAAAAUGUUUUAAGCCUGAUAUCCAGCUCUUGCAAAUGAUUGUUCUUUUAAAAUCAAUGGAGCUAUGUUCAUUAUACCAGGUGAGAAUGUGGCCCUUUCUUCAUGUGGGUGCCUGGCAUGCAGGGGGAAUACGCAAAUGGAUUAUGUGGGGUAUACACAAAUGCAGGGGAAUACGCAAAAGGAAAAUCAAAGUUGUGCUACUCUCUCUUUUCUACUUUACAGAGAAGAUUUAAGAUGUGCACUGACCUAUUUCAGUUCUUACACAUGGCAUAGGUGAACAAAGUGGUGAAUUCUCACUGAUCCUUCCUAAAUAUAUUCAGAACAACUGCA